rnacentral:rRNA from 1 species
GCACAAGCGGUGGAGCAUGUGGUUCAAUUCGAAGCAACGCGAAGAACCUUACCAGCCCUUGACAUCCCGGUCGCGGGAACGAGAGAUCGAUCCCUUCAGUUCGGCUGGACCGGAGACAGGUGCUGCAUGGCUGUCGUCAGCUCGUGUCGUGAGAUGUUGGGUUAAGUCCCGCAACGAGCGCAACCCUCGCCCUUAGUUGCCAUCAUUCAGUUGGGCACUCUAAGGGGACUGCCGGUGAUAAGCCGCGAGGAAGGUGGGGAUGACGUCAAGUCCUCAUGGCCCUUACGGGCUGGGCUACACACGUGCUACAAUGGCGGUGACAAUGGGAUGCAAUGGAGCAAUCCUGCGCAAAUCUCAAAAAACCGUCUCAGUUCGGAUUGGGCUCUGCAACUCGAGCCCAUGAAGUUGGAAUCGCUAGUAAUCGCAGAUCAGCACGCUGCGGUGAAUACGUUCCCGGGC